UGACCUGUAGCUCAGUUGGUUAGAGCUGCGCUACGGAACAGCGUGGUCAUGGGUUCAAGUCCCAUCGGGUCAA